GAAAUAUGCACAUUAAGUAUGUGCUUGAAGUAAUCAACCAUUGAAAUUUUCUUUAAAAAAAUAUAGUAAUUUUCUUCUGAAUUAUUAUUGUUAACCGGAAAUCUCGAAAGACCGUCAUGGAAUCAUUCUGAAAUGGAAUUGGAAUCAAAACGUUGUCCCAUUAAGGGCCCACACCUGGCCGUUACGUUACCAGAAAUUUUACGUGAAAUAGUGUCAUUCCUUCCGAACCACGACCUUUGCCAGAACGUCACCCUCGUUUCCCGCGGAUGGGAACAAAUUUCUCGAAAACAGCUCGUCUCUCGAGUCAUGAUUAACCUCACCCCGACAAAUAUGGCGGGCUACCUUGAACUAGGGUUGCCGCGGGUAACGGGUCGGGUACCCGUUACCCGCAUACCCGCACGAUUCUUGCGGGUACCCGUUUUCUGCGGGUAGCGAGAACUACCCGCACGGGUAACGGGUAGUUCUGUUUUUAUUUAAUUCUCGACAUAUAUCAGUUCACAAAGAAAGCUAGCAGCAAGUUAGUCCAUUUAUCAACAAAAGCGUCAAUUUAUUAUUUAUCUAUUUCAAAAUUUGCUAUUUUCCAGCA